rnacentral:tRNA from 1 species
GGAGAGGUGUCCGAGUGGCCUAAGGAGCACGAUUGGAAAUCGUGUAUCCCGAGAAAUCGGGAUCGUGGGUUCAAAUCCCACCCUCUCCG